CGUGGAGGUAGUGACAAUAAAUCACAAUGCGGGACUGUUAGUCUUGCAAUUGGAUUGAGAACAACGUACAACUCUUAUCGAUAAGCCAUUGGAGGGCAAGUCUGGUGCCAGCAGCCGCGGUAAUUCCAGCUCCAAUAGCGUAUAUUAACGUUGUUGCAGUUAAAAAGCUCGUAGUUGAAGUGAGGGAGUGUGUGUUCAUGAGAGCUAGUUUCGAGUGUUCACAACCUCCCCCCUCCAAUCGGUGUAGUGGGGUAUUCAGUUAUUUCACUACUCCUUUGGUCGUUUACUGUGAGAAAAUUAGAGUGUUCAAAGCGGGCGUUUGUUUGAAUAGAUUAGCAUGGAAUAAUGAUUGAAGGCUUUCGUGUUCGAUUUGAUUGGUUUGUUCAUGGAAGCAAGGUUAAAAGGAACAGUUGGGGGUAUUCAUAUUCACUAGUUUUUU
rnacentral:rRNA from 1 species